UAUGCUUGUCUCAAAGAUUUAAGCCAUGUAAGUAAUCACUCCAAUCUUUGAUUAUACAAAUUCUUGCCGAACAAUACACUAACAUAUUAUUCAUAGGCAUGUCUAAGUAUAAGCAAUCAUACUGUGAAACUGCGAAUGGCUCAUUAAAUCAGUUAUCGUUUAUUUGAUAGUACCUUUACCUGGAUAACCGUGGUAAUUCUAGAGCUAAUACAUGCUAAAAACCCCGACUCACGAAGGGGUGUAUUUAUUAGAUAAAAAACCAAUGCCCUUCGGGGCUCUUUGGUGAUUCAUAAUAACUUAACGAAUCGCAUGGCCUUGCGCCGGCGAUGGUUCAUUCAAAUUUCUGCCCUAUCAACUUUCGAUGGUAUGGUAUUGGCAUACCAUGGUCUCAACGGGUGACGGGGAAUUAGGGUUCGGUUCCGGAGAGGGAGCCUGAGAAACGUACGUCUUUAACCCCUCCUACAUAAUCUUUGAAACUUUUAACUAACAUUCUUUUUCAGGGCUACCACAUCCAAGGAAGGCAGCAGGCGCGCAAAUUACCCAAUGCUAAUUCAGCGAGGUAGUGACAAUAAAUACUGAUACGGGGCUCUUUCGGGUCUCGUAAUUGGAAUGAGUACAAUCUAAAUCCCUUAACGAGGAACAAUUGGAGGGCAAGUCUGGUGGAACGCAGUGUCCCAAAAAGUAUGCUGACGCCAGAGAGAGUGUUACGCUAUAAUGUUAAAGCUGUAUCACUAGUCGAUCAUCCCAUCCGCUGGUAGGGGGGAUAGCGGCAAGACAACCUGGAUCGGAAGAGGCUAAGGGAGAAAUCCUAUGUUAAUUCCGAGCCGAGCGCCCCUAGAGUGAUCUUGGGAACGCCGGUGUAGAGCGCGGUAAGGUGUCGGUGGGACUUGGGGUAAUACCCAAGCCUGCUUAAGGUACGUGCCAGCCCCAGCCGAAAGGCUGCCAAUAACUGGAAUGCCUACCACAUAAAGGUUAUUGGAAUGUUCCCUGAGAAAUGGGGAUUAUUGGAGAUCGAAAAUACAGCCUUGUAUUCGAUGACGAGAGCCGGGGCGGCAAUGCUUGCCUGCCCCGGCUCAUUCCUGGGGGUUUCGAAACUUUCAGAGGGUGGCCGACUAUAUUUUGUAUUUUCCGAUCACGCUGGCCAGCAGCCGCGGUAAUUCCAGCUCCAAUAGCGUAUAUUAAAGUUGUUGCCGUUAAAAAGCUCGUAGUUGAACCUUGGAUCUGGCUGAUCUGUCCUCCUAAUCGAGCGCACGGAUUCGGUCGGAUCUUUCCUUCUGGGGAGCCCUAUGCCCUUCACUGGGUGUAGUGGGGAACCAGGACUUUUACCUUGAAAAAAUUAGAGUGUUCAAAGCAGGCCUUUGCUCGAAUACAUUAGCAUGGAAUAAUAGAAUAGGACAUCGGUUCUAUUUUGUUGGUUUCUAGGACCGCUGUAAUGAUUAAUAGGGAUAGUCGGGGGCGUCAGUAUUCAAUUGUCAGAGGUGAAAUUCUUGGAUUUAUUGAAGACUAACUACUGCGAAAGCAUUCGCCAAGGAUGUUUUCAUUAAUCAGUGAACGAAAGUUAGGGGAUCGAAGACGAUCAGAUACCGUCGUAGUCUUAACCAUAAACUAUGCCGACUAGGGAUCGGACGGUGGUUUUUUAUGCCCCGUUCGGCACCUUACGAGAAAUCAAAGU
rnacentral:rRNA from 1 species